UACGUAGGGGCAAGCGUUGUCCGGAAUCAUUGGGCGUAAAGCGCGUGUAGGCGGCUCGGUAAGUCUGCUGUGAAAGUCCAGGGCUCAACCCUGGGAUGCCGGUGGAUACUGUCGAGCUCGAGUCCGGAAGAGGCGAGUGGAAUUCCUGGUGUAGCGGUGAAAUGCGCAGAUAUCAGGAGGAACACCGGUGGCGAAGGCGGGUCUCUGGGCCGAUACUGACGCUGAGGAGCGAAAGCGUGGGGAGCGAACAGG
rnacentral:rRNA from 1 species